GCUUAACACAUGCAAGUCGAGCGGUAAGGCCCCUUCGGGGGUACACGAGCGGCGGACGGCUGAGUAACGCGUGGGAACAUACCCCAAAGUGAGGGAUAACCGCCCGAAAGGGUGGCUAAUACCGCAUGUGAUCUUCGGAUUAAAAUCUUUGGAUGCUUUGGGAAUGGCCUGCGUACGAUUAGAUUGUUGGUGAGGUAAUGGCUCACCAAGUCGACGAUCGUUAGCUGGUCUGAGAGGAUGACCAGCCAGACUGGAACUGAGACACGGUCCAGACUCCUACGGGAGGCAGCAGUGAGGAAUCUUCCACAAUGGGCGAAAGCCUGAUGGAGCAACGCCGCGUGCAGGAUGAAGGCCUUCGGGUCGUAAACUGCUUUUAUAAGUGAAGAAUAUGACGGUAACUUAUGAAUAAGCACCGGCUAACUACGUGCCAGCAGCCGCGGUAAUAC
rnacentral:rRNA from 1 species